UUGUAAAGGAUGAUCCGCCUAUUAAUUUACUUUUAUUAUGUUGGUGUAUAUCUGGUUUAAUAUUAUUGCUUUAAUAGCUUAAUUUGUGUAUAAGUAUUUAAGCCAAGUCUAUGUGCUGCUUGUGAAAGAUUUCAUGCGUUACAUUUAUAAAUUUAUUCCUGUAAGUUGGGUCUUGUUUACAUUGAGGACUUAAAAGUAAUGUAGAAUUAGUUUGUCUAUGUGAAAAGGGUUUAGCUCGG
rnacentral:rRNA from 1 species